rnacentral:lncRNA from 1 species
CUUGCAUUUCUAAUUUCGUUACUAAUUCUGAAAGAGGGGUACGAAAGAAAAUUAUUGAAGCCCAAAAUGAUUAACAAAGGAUAAAGUAUUUUAGGUAGGUGAAUAAACUACCUUUGCCAUUCCAACCUUCAAAAAUAUGCCACAUACAAAUAACCUAAUUAAACAAACUACAGAAAACUUUCGUAACAUCUUUUGAUUGUACUUUACAAAAAGCACUAUAGGACAACACCAUCAAUCUCAUCACCACAAGCAGCCCCUGUCAAUUCGGGCAAACUUGCCUUUAGCUUCAACACGAUGCGGCAUGAUGCAUUUCAAUAAUGCUUCUUUAUGUUCUAUCUGCCCCAAUUUCACAUAGUUCAGGUUUGAAGUGAUCUCAACACCUCUUUACUUAUUUCCUUCAAACGUCCAUAUCGCCAGAUUACUUCAUGAUUAAAUUGAUAUUUUUUUAAAAACAGGCUGAGCAUUACGCGCGUAUAUCAAGUUACCUACCACCCCAAAUGAUAGUGUAUAAGGGAGUUUUUUCAAUUUAAGUGACAUUAUUCGAAAUGGAAUUAUUUAUUCAAUUUUAUUCAGAG